UGAACGCUAGCGACAGGCUUAACACAUGCAAGUCGAGGGGCAGCGGGGGUAGCGAUACCCGCCGGCGACCGGCGCACGGGUGAGUAACGCGUAUGCAACUUGCCUAUCAGAGGGGGAUAACCCGGCGAAAGUCGGACUAAUACCGCAUGAAGCAGGGGCCCCGCAUGGGGAUAUUUGCUAAAGAUUCAUCGCUGAUAGAUAGGCAUGCGUUCCAUUAGGCAGUUGGCGGGGUAACGGCCCACCAAACCGACGAUGGAUAGGGGUUCUGAGAGGAAGGUCCCCCACAUUGGUACUGAGACACGGACCAAACUCCUACGGGAGGCAGCAGUGAGGAAUAUUGGUCAAUGGCCGAGAGGCUGAACCAGCCAAGUCGCGUGAGGGAUGAAGGUUCUAUGGAUCGUAAACCUCUUUUAUAAGGGAAUAAAGUGCGGGACGUGUCCCGUUUUGUAUGUACCUUAUGAAUAAGGAUCGGCUAACUCCGUGCCAGCAGCCGCGGUAAUACGGAGGAUCCGAGCGUUAUCCGGAUUUAUUGGGUUUAAAGGGUGCGUAGGCGGCCUUUUAAGUCAGCGGUGAAAGUCUGUGGCUCAACCAUAGAAUUGCCGUUGAAACUGGGGGGCUUGAGUAUGUUUGAGGCAGGCGGAAUGCGUGGUGUAGCGGUGAAAUGCAUAGAUAUCACGCAGAACCCCGAUUGCGAAGGCAGCCUGCCAAGCCAUUACUGACGCUGAUGCACGAAAGCGUGGGGAUCAAACAGGAUUAGAUACCCUGGUAGUCCACGCAGUAAACGAUGAUCACUAGCUGUUUGCGAUACACUGUAAGCGGCACAGCGAAAGCGUUAAGUGAUCCACCUGGGGAGUACGCCGGCAACGGUGAAACUCAAAGGAAUUGACGGGGGCCCGCACAAGCGGAGGAACAUGUGGUUUAAUUCGAUGAUACGCGAGGAACCUUACCCGGGUUUGAACGCAUUCGGACCGAGGUGGAAACACCUUUUCUAGCAAUAGCCGUUUGCGAGGUGCUGCAUGGUUGUCGUCAGCUCGUGCCGUGAGGUGUCGGCUUAAGUGCCAUAACGAGCGCAACCCUUGCCACUAGUUACUAACAGGUAAAGCUGAGGACUCUGGUGGGACUGCCAGCGUAAGCUGCGAGGAAGGCGGGGAUGACGUCAAAUCAGCACGGCCCUUACAUCCGGGGCGACACACGUGUUACAAUGGCGUGGACAAAGGGAGGCCACCUGGCGACAGGGAGCGAAUCCCCAAACCACGUCUCAGUUCGGAUCGGAGUCUGCAACCCGACUCCGUGAAGCUGGAUUCGCUAGUAAUCGCGCAUCAGCCAUGGCGCGGUGAAUACGUUCCCGGGCCUUGUACACACCGCCCGUCAAGCCAUGGGAGCCGGGGGUACCAGAAGUCCGUAACCGAAAGGAUCGGCCUAGGGUAAAACUGGUGACU
rnacentral:rRNA from 1 species